AACGAACGCUGGCGGCAUGCCUAACACAUGCAAGUCGAACGAGAUCCUUCGGGGUCUAGUGGCGCACGGGUGCGUACCGCGUGGGAAUCUGCCCUUAGGUUCGGAAUAACAGUUAGAAAUGACUGCUAAUACCGGAUGAUGACGUUAAGUCCAAAGAUUUAUCGCCUGAGGAUGAGCCCGCGUAGGAUUAGCUAGUUGGUGUGGUAAAGGCGCACCAACGCGACGAUCCUUAGCUGGUCUGAGAGGAUGAUCAGCCACACUGGGACUGAGACACGGCCCAGACUCCUACGGGAGGCAGCAGUGGGGAAUAUUGGAAAGUGGGCGCAAGCCUGAUCCAGCAAUGCCGCGUGAGUGAUGAAGGCCUUAGGGUUGUAAAGCUCUUUUACCCGGGAUGAUAAUGACAGUACCGGGAGAAUAAGCCCCGGCUAACUCCGUG
rnacentral:rRNA from 1 species